rnacentral:lncRNA from 1 species
UCCAACCACUUUUCCAUUGUAAGUUUUGAAGUCGGGCAAACCAAAUCUUCUAAAGAGACUUUAACAGAACCCACAGAUUUAACAGAUUUCGGAAUAGGCAAACCAGACGAUGAGCAGGACAUGAGAUCAAAAAGAAGAUGCCCAUUAGGUUCACAUUGGAAAUAAGCAACCUGUUUUUCCCCAGUGACGGACAAAAUAGUAAGUUUUCUCUUUGCAUUGAAGAUUCUAUCAGGCUGAGUCUUGCUAAAUGAGACAAAGAAGCUUCCCUUGUGUCCUUCUGGUAAGUUUCUGAUAUCUACAAGCUCUAACAUAACCUGUAAAUAAUUGGAGAAGUUACUAAAAGUUACAACUUGGAAGUCAGGUCUUCAUAAGCAAUAAGACAAGUAGAUUAUUUUAAGUGAAGUGAUCUAUAAAUCUAGGUUACACAUUAAUGUUCUUCAUAUCAGGAGCAGCAAUGUUCAAGAUAGGCCCUGAACGAUACAGUUUAAUGAAUUGACACCCUACCUGUCAUAGUAAGACCAGACACAGAUAAUGAUUGUCUUUAAUGUCAACGUAGAAUUAAAGUUGUAAUAUAAUUUUCCACAUUGGAUUUAAAUCAUAUACUUAUAAAAUAAUAUGGCUCCCCUAUAAUCUCUAGCGUUAAUAGCAUACUGAUUGAAAACAAAAGAUCACUUAGGAUUUUCAGCACAUUCUCCAGAUCACUCAUCCUUGCACUUAUUACCUUCAGAUAUAGUUUGGAAAUGGAAUUCAUUAUAUGCAAGUAUCCUAGAUAUAUCAGUUAUAUUGAAUCUCAAAAUAUGUAAACAAUAUUGAGAUGACAAAGCUAAAAGUAGAAAGAUGCUGAAAAUUACUUCUACUGCUUCCAUCUCAGGAUACUGCAUUAUCUUUUGGUGCUCAUGGAAAAUAUCUGUGUUCUUGCGUACAGGGUUGGAGGGGUAAUAAGAAUUCCCAAGAGGAGAUGGUGAACUGCCUCUAUACAUUGCACCUGCCCUCCAAUAUCUUAAACCAUAUGUUUCUUCCCACUGCUUUGUAGUGCGAGAAAAGCCAGUAUCCAACUUUUUCCCUUUUGUUCGAUCUGAGUCAGUGUCAUCAUGUUCUAAAAC